UUAGUUGCGACUGUAUUCGUUAUAGUAGUUAAUUUGCUAGUCCACGGGAUGUUCCCGCCGAAAUUGGACUUCGUUAUUAUGAAUAUUAAUAAAUUAAUAUGAGGUGUGUUUUUAUCAACUUAACCACUUGGUUGUUUUUGCUUCAGAAAAGCAACUAGUUAUAAAUGUAAGGGCUUUUUUGGACAACUUCGGUGAAAAAGUGUUGAUUUCGUAGUUCAGUCAGCGUAACUUAUAUCCGAGAGGUCUUACAGGCGCCACAGACACCUAUCAGCCUUUUGUAAGGAGGAGCAGCUCGAGUGCGGUGCGGUCAGUAGUCCUUCAAAUUAGAAAAGUGAGGAUGAUCUUGUCAAUGCUGAGAUUUUCAUGCAUCAACAGCCACUACAUCUGGAUCAGAUUGAACAAGAAACAGACAGCAAGGGUUGUCAGAUCAGAAACAGAAUGACACACAAACACAAGAAACUUCACAGGCAGAUCAACAUGCAAUUUGAAGACGUGUGAUAAAAUACAGAGAGGUGAAGUAGUGUGUCUUUCCAGAUCCCCAAAUCAUUCCCCCUUAAAAGAUGAGCUGAAGAGGAGAUUUGGGAAGAUGCUGUUUCAUAAGUCGCUUUGCCUGAUCACAUGUG